rnacentral:pre_miRNA from 1 species
UAUUAAAAGUUUCAUCAAUUUAUACUAUUAAAAAUUGACCUGGUUAGCGGUAUAACCAAAUUAAUACAUGACAUGCCACGUUUACCAUAUGUUGUAUAGGAAUCGGUUUUAAAAUAAAAAUAGAUAAAAAUUUUAACA